UAUCAAAACCCUUUUUCUUUGAUCCUUUUUGGAGCGGAAAAGGACUUUUGGACUUGGAGGUUCAAUGCUCGCUUUCGCCUUUGAAAGCGAGCUCCUCUCAAAUGAAUUAGUGGGGUCCGCUUUGCCGAUCCUUGACGUGAUAAGAUGUUUCUACGUUUUGGAUUUGGCACUGUCCCUUGGACGUCCGCUCCUAACCGUCCGUCUUAUGGACAAUGAUGGUGCUCUGGUCGCCGGCCACCUACGUUGGCGGGAGGCUGGACCCACAAAAAACCUUGACC
rnacentral:misc_RNA from 1 species